rnacentral:rRNA from 1 species
CCUACGGGAGGCAGCAGUGAGGAAUAUUGGUCAAUGGACGGAAGUCUGAACCAGCCAUGCCGCGUGCAGGAAGACGGCUCUAUGAGUUGUAAACUGCUUUUGUACAAGGGUAAACCUGAAUACGUGUGUUCAGCUGUAUGUACUUUACGAAUAAGGAUCGGCUAACUCCGUGCCAGCAGCCGCGGUAAUACGGAGGAUCCAAGCGUUAUCCGGAUUUAUUGGGUUUAAAGGGUGCGUAGGUGGGUUGAUAAGUUAGAGGUGAAAGGUUCGAGCUUAACUCGGGAACUGCCUUUAAUACUGGUGGUCUAGAGAGUAGAUGCGGUAGGCGGAAUGUAUGGUGUAGCGGUGAAAUGCUUAGAGAUCAUACAGAACACCGAUUGCGAAGGCAGCCUACCAAGCUAUAUCUGACGUUGAGGCACGAAAGCGUGGGGAGCAAACAGGAUUAGAUACCCUUGUAGUC